AUGGAGUACUACGCAGAUAUUAAAAACAANGNAUUUAUGAAAUUNUUAGACAAAUGGAUGUAUCUGGAGGGGACGAAGAGCCAAUGGGGAGAAGAGAAUCUUCAGGCUCUGAGCAUCCAGGAGGGUGAAGAUGUCACCAUGAACUGUAGUUACAAGACUUACACAACUGUUGUACAGUGGUACAGACAGAAGUCAGGCGAAGGCCCUGCCCAGCUAAUCUUAAUACGUUCAAAUGAACGAGAGAAGAGCAGUGGAAGACUCAGAGCCACCCUUGACACCUCCAGCCAGAGCAGCACCCUGUCCAUCACUGGUGCUCUAGCUACAGACACUGCUGUGUACUUCUGUGCUACAGAUGCACAGUGUGGGACAGGCACCUGCAGCCCUGACACAAACCUCAGAGCUGCUUCCUAG